rnacentral:lncRNA from 1 species
UUGCUGCUUAAAUCGGUCGAGGUCGGAUGACGGACACCUGAUCCUCGUGUAGGAACGCUGGCAUUAGAGUGACCUGCAAAAUAAAUCCCAAAUCAGAGAUUGUGGUUCCGGCGAAGAUCCUUUGAUGCUCAAGUUAGAAAAGUAGAGAACUAAAGAGCAGCAACGGAUUUUCUGAGAGAGAUUUGAUUAAACUUACCUGGGUCCUCGAAGCUUUGGUUGUUUAUAUAAAAAGAUGUCAGACAACUGGAUUGUUAGCUGUG